UACGUAGGGUGCAAGCGUUGUCCGGAUUUAUUGGGCGUAAAGCGCUCGCAGGCGGUCCGAUGCGUCGUGCGUGAAAGACCCCGGCUCAACUGGGGGGUGUCGUGCGAUACGGUCGGACUGGAGGCCAGUAGGGGGAUGCGGAAUUCCGGGUGUAGUGGUGGAAUGCGUAGAGAUCCGGAGGAACACCAGCGGCGAAGGCGGCAUCCUGGACCAAUAUUGACGCUGAGGAGCGAAAGCCAGGGGAGCAAACGGG
rnacentral:rRNA from 1 species